GAUUUCAAAUGGAAAAGCCAUAAACAACAAAGUUAUACAACUUAUCAGGAUCUACAACUUUUAUUUUGGUCACUUCUUCAUCCGACAAAGUGAUAGUUAUAUUAUUCACAAUAAUCACAUUUCUCUCAUCUGAUUUAUAAACAUCAACACAAAUAUGUCAAUUUUGUAAACAUUGGUACUAUCACUUUGCUGGAUGAAGAAGUGACCAAAAUAAAAGUUGUAGAUCUUGAUGAGAGGAUCAACUUUGUUGUUGUUGACUUUUUCAUUUGAAAUC
rnacentral:pre_miRNA from 1 species